ACUUCAUACAUUCUGUACAGGUCCGGAAAGAGCAGAGGAUGAACCCGAAAGAGGAAGAAAGUCCCAGGGCUUACCCCGUCUCCUAAAGGAACUGCUGAAGGAAAUAGAGAAGGCACCGCGUGGAAUUGACCAAGAAACUGAGCAGGAUGCACUGCAGGAAGGCAGACAUCCCACCCUGCCGGUCUCGGACAGUGGAACGCAGGCAGUGCCAACAGCUGGCACGCCAGGGAUGAAUGCCGGGAAAAGCACAGAGGCUGCUGUUCACCAAUCUGCGCGGAAGCGCUACAUCGCAGCCGUGGUAAUGUUCCCUGCUGCGGUGCUGGCCUGUGGUGCUGUGAUAUGGAUGUGCAAAAAAUACUUAGUGCGCAAGAGAGAAGAGAGAGCAGCAGAACCGGCUCAUCCUGAUACCAACUAGGAGAGAGUUCCAACUGGAGACGA